AGUGAACGCUGGCGGCAGGCCUAACACAUGCAAGUCGAACGGCAGCACAGGAGAGCUUGCUCUCUGGGUGGCGAGUGGCGGACGGGUGAGGAAUAUAUCGGAAUCUACCCUUUCGUGGGGGAUAACGUAGGGAAACUUACGCUAAUACCGCAUACGAACUGAGGUUGAAAGCGGCGGACCGCAAGGCGUCGCGCGGAUGGAUGAGCCGAUAUCCGAUUAGCUAGUUGGCGGGGUAAAGGCCCACCAAGGCGACGAUCGGUAGCUGGUCUGUGAGGAUGGUCAGCCACACUGGAACUGAGACACGGUCCAGACUCCUACGGGAGGCAGCAGUGGGGAAUAUUGGACAAUGGGCGCAAGCCUGAUCCAGCCAUGCCGCGUGUGUGAAGAAGGCCUUCGGGUUGUAAAGCACUUUUGUUGGGAAAGAAAAGCGGUCGGUUAAUACCCGGUCGUUCUGACGGUACCCAAAGAAUAAGCACCGGCUAACUUCGUGCCAGCCGCCGCCGUAA
rnacentral:rRNA from 1 species